rnacentral:lncRNA from 1 species
CCGAAACUAGCGGGGACUAGAUGAAAAAAAUCCCCUAAAUGCUCUGCGUGCGUUUACCCUGACAUCACAAUGGACCAAAUCGAAAACCAAACGAAAUCUAAGGGUUAAAAUUAAAAAAAAAACAAAAAGAAAACAGGAAAUGGGGCCCGAUUGAAUGGAGUUGCGAAUGAAAAGGACUAAUCGCAUAAAUUUUCCCUUUAGGGAGAAUGUGCAAACCCCCAUCCCACCAAACGACGUCGUUUCAAAGAUGAAAUAAAACCAAAAUCUUCGUUCUUUUUCAAUCUGCCGUUUCUUCUUUUAUUUUUCAAGAAAAAACAAAACACCCUCUCCCCCUUUGUUUCUCAACUCUCUGUUAGGGUUAUGAACCCUAGCCUUUGCGCCGUUAGCCUGUCGAUUGAGAGGAAGAAAGUCUCUCCUCUCCUCCUUUUGGGUCUGAUUUCAGCAACGGAGAGAGUCUCCGGUGACACAAUCACAGGGAUUCCGGGCAAGCCCUCUCCUUCUCUUAUUAUUUUUGUUUAAAAGAGAUUUAAAAAUAAAAGAUAAAAAAAUAUAUAUAAAAAAAAUAAAAAAGAAAAGAACACGAAAAUGGAAAUCGAAAUCAACCUUUUUUUUUCUUCUAUUUUUGCUUUUUGAUUGCUUAAUGUUCGUAAAAAAAAAUUACAAAUGAAAAUCGUGGCUCUUAUAGCCAAUUCAUAAACUGUUAGUUUUCAUUUUUUUUUGUCUUUUUGCAUGUUGUUUCUUCUGCUUGGCUUCUUUCGUUUGCGUGUUGUAGGUGGUUGUCAGAGAUGUCAGAUGCGUGUGACAAAGCGGCGCGCGUGGUGGCCAAGGGUAGCGUGCGGCGCUGGUCAAGGGCAGAGGGGUAUGCGGCGGCUGCACCUUGGGGACUAGGGUUUUGUCUGUUGAAAAAAAAGUUUAAGAUAGUGGGCUAGGGUUUGAUGUAAUGGGUCAUUUGGUUUUGGGUUUGGGCCUGCUGUUUGUUUUUGUAAAAUGGACUUUAUUUGGUUAUUUGGAUUUUAUUUUUUUGUUUAUUUGCCUGGGCCAAAAAUUGGCCAUUACACCAACCAUUAGGAAAAAGAGAGCAAAUAUUCUCAGAUAUUUUCUGAAUUUAUUGUGUGCUAAUUUGGAAGAUCAAAUCCUUAAGAUCCGGUAAAAUUUCAAGUAAUUCAUGGAUUCAGGUAAGCUUCCCUAUCUAGUUUUAUUUUUGAUUUAUUCUUGAUAAAUUGACAUGAUAGAUCCUGAUUUAUUAAGUUUUAUUUCAGAUUUAUUUUACAAAUCUAACACUAAAUUCUCAUUUAAUUAUUAUAUAAUUUUUAAUAAAUAUAUUUUUAUAGCAACAUUUUUCACCCACAUCUUUGGUGUGCUAUAAUCUAAUAUUUUCAUGGAGCUUUUGCUACUACUUAGAACACAUGAGAUCCAAAAUUUAAUGGCUAAAUAUGAACUCAAUCUCGAUAGGAAAAAGGUUAAUUGAUUUAGUGUUGUCGGAUAUUUAGAUGAUUUUAUUUGGUCGAAUUUGAGUGAAGAUCUCAAAAAAUUAAGAAUUUUUGUAUCUCUUUUUCAAUAUUAGAUUGAACCUGCUAUAAUCUAAUAUUGAAAUAUCCAAAUU